rnacentral:rRNA from 1 species
UACGUAGGGGGCUAGCGUUGUCCGGAAUCAUUGGGCGUAAAGCGCGUGUAGGCGGUCCGGUAAGUCCGCUGUGAAAGUCGGGGGCUCAACCCUCGAAUGCCGGUGGAUACUGUCGGGCUAGAGUGCGGAAGAGGCGAGUGGAAUUCCUGGUGUAGCGGUGAAAUGCGCAGAUAUCAGGAAGAACACCCGUGGCGAAGGCGGCUCUCUGGGACGGUACUGACGCUGAGACGCGAAAGCGUGGGAGCGAACAGG